GGAAGAUGGGAGCUUGCUCCCUGAUGUUAGCGGCGGACGGGUGAGUAACACGUGGGUAACCUGCCUGUAAGACUGGGAUAACUCCGGGAAACCGGGGCUAAUACCGGAUGCUUGUUUGAACCGCAUGGUUCAAACAUAAAAGGUGGCUUCGGCUACCACUUACAGAUGGACCCGCGGCGCAUUAGCUAGUUGGUGAGGUAAUGGCUCACCAAGGCAACGAUGCGUAGCCGACCUGAGAGGGUGAUCGGCCACACUGGGACUGAGACACGGCCCAGACUCCUACGGGAGGCAGCAGUAGGGAAUCUUCCGCAAUGGACGAAAGUCUGACGGAGCAACGCCGCGUGAGUGAUGAAGGUUUUCGGAUCGUAAAGCUCUGUUGUUAGGGAAGAACAAGUGCCGUUCAAAUAGGGCGGCACCUUGACGGUACCUAACCAGAAAGCCACGGCUAACUACGUGCCAGCAGCCGCGGUAAUACGUAGGUGGCAAGCGUUGUCCGGAAUUAUUGGGCGUAAAGGGCUCGCAGGCGGUUUCUUAAGUCUGAUGUGAAAGCCCCCGGCUCAACCGGGGAGGGUCAUUGGAAACUGGGGAACUUGAGUGCAGAAGAGGAGAGUGGAAUUCCACGUGUAGCGGUGAAA
rnacentral:rRNA from 1 species